GGCCGGUUAGCUCAGUUGGUUAGGAGCGUGGUGCUAAUAACGCCAAAGGUCGCGGGUUCGAUCCCCUCGUACGGGCCA
rnacentral:tRNA from 1 species